UCAAGGGCUACUGGUUUCAGAACAAGU
rnacentral:piRNA from 1 species